UAGUUUGGAUCCUAAAUCUAUUGCAGAUGCAUUUAAUGACUAUUUCAUUAGUAUUGGGUCGAGGCUAGCAGCAGAAUAUGUAGACGAGUCCUGUAGUAAUGUUGAUAAUCAGCCCAUAAACUAUAAUAUUAAUCAAUCCUCAGAUACUUUUUUUAAAGUAUUUCCAAUAUCCGUUGAUAGUGUUGCCUCGACCCUAAGAGGCCUAAAAGCAUGUAAAGCAACAGGUCUUGAUAAAAUUCCUGCUAAAAUUCUAAAAUUAUCUGCAAACAUAAUUGCACCCUCGUUG